GCUUGUCUGAGGGCUGACCCCAGGAAUUAUGCUGUGGAAGGUAUUUAUUUAUGACUCUGUCACCACAUUGGAGUUUGUCCUACAAGUCCUCUGUUCCUGUGUAGUUUGAGUGUGUAGGAGAUCCACCUGGGUCUUUUGUUUUCUCUUAAAAUCAUUUCUGUAUUUUGGCUCUACUAGCCCCGGUUCUAGUGUAUAACUUUCUGUUUGCAUUGGUUAAUCUUCACUGUUACCAUUGCUGGAAUAAGUUCACCCUGGCAACACACCUCUGAGUGGACCUAUGAUGAUGCACCAAGAAGAGUUGAGCAGCAGCAGAAGACACAUGGACUACUGAGGACUCCGGUCCAGGAGUGAAUAAACAGGAGGAAGUGAGAUACAGAGCAGUUUGGUGCUCUCGGCUUUCUGAUGGCAGAUGCAGUGUCUCUACACCCCUAGCUUCAUAUCUUCCCCACCACGUGUGCGUCCUCAAGCUCAAGCCUCCCCUCCUUCAGUUGCUUCUGUAGUGAUUUCUGUCAGAAGAUUGAAAAGGUUUGCAAGACAACUAAAGAUCAAGUAUGAAGUAAAAACGAGAAAAUCAUCAGUUUCCAACUUCAUGAACAGAAAACUCAAGUAAAAUCAAACUUGGGUGUAAUGGCAUUGUUUUCACAAAUCUGGAAGCAGAUCAGUAAUACCCGCGAAGCUGUGUCAACCAUUCUGGUCAUAAAAUCUCAAACUGAGUGUUUGUAUUGGGAUUAUUCAGUCACAAGAGGCUUUCAUCAUAUUUUCUCCAUUGUUUGCAAAGGACAAGUCAAUAGUAGAUAUCCCCAAAUCCCAUAAUAAAUUAAUAUUAUAUUAA